UCUUGCUCUGCCCGAAGCGAUCGAAGC
rnacentral:sRNA from 1 species